UCUCCGUUGGUGAACCAGCGGAGGGAUCAUUACCGAGUCUUACUCGAAACCCUUUGUGAACGUAUAUACCUGUUGCUUCGGCGGCGCGGUCUUCCAGCCGUGCCCGCCGGUGUUCAGUAUCUCUGUUUUUGAACCGACGUUACAUCUGAGUGUUCUAAAGCGAACUGUUAAAACUUUCAACAACGGAUCUCUUGGCUCUA
rnacentral:misc_RNA from 1 species